AGAAAGAUUAUUCAGCAGAUUUACAUUAGCUCCCCCAGGAGGGCCAGUACGCAAUUGUGGCGUCAUUCCACCAACAACAGGCUUAAUAUCUGGUGCAUUCUCGGCUUUGGUGACCAUUUCUUGAGAGACUGGCGAUGCUGAAGAUGUUUGAACUGAAGGAAUUGCUUGUGUAGCAGGCCGUGCUACGGACGGGAUAUGAGGAAAAGUUGGAACUGCUGCCAUAGAAGAUAUAGUGCCAGGCUC
rnacentral:lncRNA from 1 species